ACUCAAAUGAAUUGACGGGGGCCCGCACAAGCGGUGGAGCAUGUGGAUUAAUACGUCACUAACCGUAGAACCUUACCCAGGCUUGACAUCUAGGGAAUCCCCCUGAAAGGGGGGAGUGCUCGCAAGAGAGCCCUAAGACAGGUGUUGCAUGGCUGUCGUCAGCUCGUGUCGUGAGAUGUUGGGUUAAGUCCCGCAACGAGCGCAACCCUCACCGUCUGUUGCCAGCAUUCAGUUGGGCACUCUGACGGAACUGCCCGGGUAACCGGGAGGAAGGUGGGGAUGACGUCAAGUCAGCAUGGCCCUUACGCCUGGGGCUUCACACAUGCUACAAUGGCCGGUACAGAGGGUCCCGAGACCGCGAGGUGGAGGUAAUCCCAAAAAGCCGGCCUCAGUUCGGAUCGCAGGCUGCAACUCGCCUGCGUGAAGUUGGAAUCGCUAGUAACCGCCGGUCAGCUAAACGGCAGUGAAUACGUUCCCGGGCCUUGUACACACCGCCCGU
rnacentral:rRNA from 1 species